rnacentral:rRNA from 1 species
UACGUAGGGUGCAAGCGUUGUCCGGAAUUAUUGGGCGUAAAGAGCUCGUAGGCGGUCUGUCGCGUCUGCUGUGAAAACUCAGGGCUUAACCCUGAGCUUGCAGUGGGUACGGGCAGACUAGAGUGCGGUAGGGGAGACUGGAAUUCCUGGUGUAGCGGUGAAAUGCGCAGAUAUCAGGAAGAACACCAAUGGCGAAGGCAGCUCUCUGGGACGGUACUGACACUGAGACGCGAAAGCGUGGGGAGCGAACAGG